rnacentral:rRNA from 1 species
AAGGAAUAUUGGUCAAUGGACGAAAGUCUGAACCAGCCAUGCCGCGUGGAGGAUGAAGGUCCUCUGGAUUGUAAACUUCUUUUAUAUGGGACGAAAAAAGGCUUUUCUAAGUCGUCUGACGGUACCAUAUGAAUAAGCACCGGCUAACUCCGUGCCAGCAGCCGCGGUAAUACGGAGGGUGCAAGCGUUAUCCGGAUUCACUGGGUUUAAAGGGUGCGUAGGUGGAUUGCCAAGUCCGUGGUGAAAUCUUCGAGCUUAACUCGGAAACUGCCGUGGAUACUGGUAAUCUUGAAUAUCGUGGAGGUUAGCGGAAUAUGUCAUGUAGCGGUGAAAUGCUUAGAUAUGACAUAGAACACCAAUUGCGAAGGCAGCUGGCUACGCGAAUAUUGACACUGAGGCACGAAAGCGUGGGGAUCAAAC